rnacentral:rRNA from 1 species
UAAUACGUAGGGUGCGAGCGUUAAUCGGAAUUACUGGGCGUAAAGCGUGCGCAGGCGGUUGUGCAAGACAGAUGUGAAAUCCCCGGGCUUAACCUGGGAACUGCAUUUGUGACUGCACGGCUAGAGUGUGUCAGAGGGGGGUAGAAUUCCACGUGUAGCAGUGAAAUGCGUAGAUAUGUGGAGGAAUACCGAUGGCGAAGGCAGCCCCCUGGGAUAACACUGACGCUCAUGCACGAAAGCGUGGGGAGCAAACAGGAUUAGAUACCCUGGUAGUCCACGCCCUAAACGAUGUCAACUAGUUGUCGGGUCUUAAUUGACUUGGUAACGCAGCUAACGCGUGAAGUUGACCGCCUGGGGAGUACGGUCGCAAGAUUA